rnacentral:rRNA from 1 species
UACGUAGGUGGCAAGCGUUAUCCGGAUUUACUGGGUGUAAAGGGCAUGUAGGCGGGACUGCAAGUCAGAUGUGAAAACCACGGGCUCAACCUGUGGCCUGCAUUUGAAACUGUAGUUCUUGAGUACUGGAGAGGCAGACGGAAUUCCUAGUGUAGCGGCGAAAUGCGUAGAUAUUAGGAGGAACACCAGUGGCGAAGGCGGUCUGCUGGACAGCAACUGACGCUGAGGCGCGAAAGCGUGGGGAGCAAACAGG